UCGGUCCCAAGGGUUGGGCUGUUCGCCCAUUAAAGCGGUACGCGAGCUGGGUUCAGAACGUCGUGAGACAGUUCGGUCCCUAUCCGUCGUGGGCGUAGGAAAUUUGAGAGGAGCUGUCCUUAGUACGAGAGGACCGGGAUGGACGCACCGCUGGUGUACCAGUUGUCCUGCCAAGGGCAUCGCUGGGUAGCUAUGUGCGGAAGGGAUAAGUGCUGAAAGCAUCUAAGCAUGAAGCCCCCCUCAAGAUGAGAUUUCCCAUCACGUCAAGUGAGUAAGAUCCCUGAAAGAUGAUCAGGUAGAUAGGUCCGAGGUGGAAGCGUGGUGACACGUGGAGCUGACGGAUACUAAUCGAUCGAGGACUUAACCAA
rnacentral:rRNA from 1 species